rnacentral:rRNA from 1 species
UGGGGAAUAUUGGACAAUGGGCGCAAGCCUGAUCCAGCCAUGCCGCGUGAGUGAAGAAGGCCUUAGGGUUGUAAAGCUCUUUCACCCGUGAAGAUGAUGACGGUAGCGGGAGAAGAAGCCCCGGCUAACUCCGUGCCAGCAGCCGCGGUAAUACGGAGGGGGCGAGCGUUGUUCGGAAUUACUGGGCGUAAAGGGCGCGUAGGCGGAUGAUCAAGUCAGGGGUGAAAGUCCUGGGCUCAACCUGGGGACUGCCUUUGAAACUGAUUGUCUUGAGACCGGGAGAGGAUGGCGGAAUUCCCAGUGUAGAGGUGAAAUUCGUAGAUAUUGGGAAGAACACCGGUGGCGAAGGCGGCCAUCUGGACCGGAUCUGACGCUGAGGCGCGAAAGCGUGGGGAGCAAACAGGAUUAGAUACCCCCGUAGUCC